AUUGAACGCUGGCGGCAGGCCUAACACAUGCAAGUCGAGCGGAUGAAGGGAGCUUGCUCCUGGAUUCAGCGGCGGACGGGUGAGUAAUGCCUAGGAAUCUGCCUGGUAGUGGGGGAUAACGUCCGGAAACGGGCGCUAAUACCGCAUACGUCCUGAGGGAGAAAGUGGGGGAUCUUCGGACCUCACGCUAUCAGAUGAGCCUAGGUCGGAUUAGCUAGUUGGUGGGGUAAAGGCCUACCAAGGCGACGAUCCGUAACUGGUCUGAGAGGAUGAUCAGUCACACUGGAACUGAGACACGGUCCAGACUCCUACGGGAGGCAGCAGUGGGGAAUAUUGGACAAUGGGCGGAAGCCUGAUCCAGCCAUGCCGCGUGUGUGAAGAAGGUCUUCGGAUUGUAAAGCACUUUAAGUUGGGAGGAAGGGCAGUACGUUAAUACCUUGCUGUUUUGACGUUACCAACAGAAUAAGCACCGGCUAACUUCGUG
rnacentral:rRNA from 1 species